GCCUGUCUAGCUCAGUUGGUAGAGCGCAAAGCUCUUAACCUUGUGUGGUCAUGGGUUUGAAUCCCAAGGUGGGCG